GACGAACGCUGGCGGCGUGCCUAAUACAUGCAAGUCGAGCGGAUGGAAGGAAGCUUGCUUCCUAAAGUCAGCGGCGGACGGGUGAGUAACACGUGGGCAACCUGCCCCUAAGAUCGGGAUAACUUCGGGAAACCGGAGCUAAUACCGGAUAUGAUCAUCCCUCACAUGAGGGAUGAUGGAAAGGCGGUUUCGGCUGUCACUUAGGGAUGGGCCCGCGGCGCAUUAGCUAGUUGGUGAGGUAACGGCUCACCAAGGCGACGAUGCGUAGCCGACCUGAGAGGGGGAUCGGCCACACUGGGACUGAGACACGGCCCAGACUCCUACGGGAGGCAGCAGUAGGGAAUCUUCCGCAAUGGACGAAAGUCUGACGGAGCAACGCCGCGUGAGUGAAGAAGGUUUUCGGAUCGUAAAACUCUGUUGUCAGGGAAGAACAAGUACCAUAGUAACUGAUGGUACCUUGACGGUACCUGACCAGAAAGCCACGGCUAACUACGUGCCAGCAGCCGCGGUAAGAC
rnacentral:rRNA from 1 species